rnacentral:rRNA from 1 species
UACGUAGGGGGCAAGCGUUGUCCGGAAUCAUUGGGCGUAAAGAGCGCGUAGGCGGUCCGGUAAGUCGGUUGUGAAAACUGGGGGCUCAACCCUCAGAGGCCGACCGAUACUGCUGGGCUAGAGUCCGGAAGAGGCGAGUGGAAUUCCUGGUGUAGCGGUGAAAUGCGCAGAUAUCAGGAGGAACACCAAUGGCGAAGGCAGCUCGCUGGGACGGUACUGACGCUGAGACGCGAAAGCGUGGGGAGCGAACAGG